rnacentral:rRNA from 1 species
UCCCAGACUCCUACGGGAGGCAGCAGUGGGGGAUAUUGCACAAUGGGGGGAACCCUGAUGCAGCGACGCCGCGUGGGUGAAGAAGCGCCUCGGCGCGUAAAGCCCUGUCAGCAGGGAAGAAAAUGACGGUACCUGAAGAAGAAGCCCCGGCUAACUACGUGCCAGCAGCCGCGGUAAUACGUAGGGGGCAAGCGUUAUCCGGAUUCACUGGGCGUAAAGGGAGCGUAGACGGCGACGCAAGUCUGGAGUGAAAGCCCGGGGCCCAACCCCGGGACUGCUCUGGAAACUGCGGCGCUGGAGUACGGGAGGGGCAGGCGGAAUUCCUGGUGUAGCGGUGAAAUGCGUAGAUAUCAGGAGGAACACCGGUGGCGAAGGCGGCCUGCUGGGCUUUAACUGACGCUGAGGCUCGAAAGCGUGGGUAGCAAACAGGAUUAGAUACCCCUGUAG